GAUCUCAGAUCAUAUUAGAAGACUCUUUGCCUAUCACUAAGUUUGGAAAUCAGAACCUCCUACAAUGAAAUUCCUGGUUUUGCUUUGUAUUUUGAGUGUGCUUGAGCAGAGAACAUGGGGAAAUGUUGAGAGUAACAGUAAUUUCUUCAGUGAAGAGAAUUUAAGUGACCCUGACUUUAAUGAUGAUCAUUUUGAACACCAACCUCCAGAAGAAAAUUUGCCUUUUUCUCCAGUAUAUGAUGACUCUUCAUUUUUAACAUCCCUUUAAAGAACAAAAGAUAUGGAUCUCCAAAACAUCUCUUUUGGAAUACUGAUACGUAUACUUCUAACAAAUCAAAAUCUUACUCUGGAUUCCUUAUUCAAGAGUUCGGUUCUAUUAUGAUGGCAUCCUUGGACUAUAUCAUAUACACUAAAGAAAAUGGGUAACAACUGUAAUAGCUUUGGAAUUUGAAUUUCUUUACUUUUAUUAAUAAAUCUCCUUUGCAAGCAUGUA